rnacentral:rRNA from 1 species
AUGUCCCACUGUUACUUAGCGAUUUCUACGCGAAUUCUUGAGUUCAGAGAGACUCGAUCAAAGGUGGAUCCGCACAGCUUCCAAGUAGGAGUAGUACGGAUCAGACAAUUGAUCACUCAUAAGCAGAGCAGAGCAGGCGGAGGAGUGAGGAAGGAGGUGCUCACAUUUCUGGGCGUUGAAGAAGAGGAGGGCCUUGUGGAGGGCGUCGGUGUACUUGUCGGGGGGCGGGGCGUGGGGCUUCUUCUUGGGGAUGUUCUUGGCGAUGAUGAUGGGGAGGCCGAUGAGGACGAAGGCGCCGAGGACGGCCCAGAGCAUCCACCAGAGGAGCUUGCGCUUGACGACGACGCAGCCGAGGUCGACGUAGCGGUCCUUCUUCUUGGCCUCCGGCGGGCCGAGCAGCCAGCUCUGCUGCGUCUCGUCCAGCUGGUGCUGGUGCUGCAGCGCGCCGCGGUCGAUGUCCAUGUUGCGGCUCUGGUCGUCCUCCGCGCCGUCGAUGUCGAACGCCCCGCCCCAGUGGUUCUGGGAGUGCAUGGUGGCUCCCCCCUCCUGGACGGCCGCCGGCCGCUGGGGCUUUCUUGGUCGGAGCUGGCUCGCGCGCGCGCAGUUUCAGGCGAUCGAUCAGCGCAUGAACGGCCGGAGCCGGACACCCAGCUGGGGAGUGCUUACUAG